rnacentral:misc_RNA from 1 species
UUUAGAUUCUCACGUGAAAACAGUAUAAAGUUAUUUUGAUAAAAUAAUUUAAUUUUUAUGUAUAAAAUAACUUUAUUAUCUCUGCUUAUCCACGUUUAUUGUGGAUCAACUUCAUCCCCCAAACAUUUUCCAUUUCCAAAUAUCUAUUUGGCUAUAUAAACUUUUGACGCUUAUACAUAAAACAUUGCAUAAGACAACAAAUAAUAAUUAGAUAAAAGCCAACCCUCAGAACCACUUGUUCUUCGGGCCUCCUAGUCCUACUCUGCAACUGCCAGUCAUAACGGCAAGGGAAAACCACACAAAAAAGCCACCAAGAGACGUCUUACUAUGCGUAGCAAAAUCUACACUUAUGCUACUAAACUUCACUCACCUUCUUCCCUACUGCUUCAACUACUAGUUUAACCAUCUACCGCCAUUGAUCAAAUCCACAAUUUGAUCACAAUGGAUCUAUUUGGGUCACCACAAUGGGGCUCCUAACCACAUGCUUCCCGUCCGACCAUGAAAUUGAACCGAACACAGCACCCGAAUCGUCCAUUAUCAGAUUCCGGGUAUCUGCGGUUAUUGUCACAAUAAAGCUCUGCUUCUUCAUUCGCUGAUUGAACACCAAUCUCGCUGGUUUCACCGCCACCGUUGUCCCUUUGGGAGCUUCAAUUAUUGGCCGAUAAACAGCGUUUGGUGGACCCACAUUGGUCACGGUUCUGAUAAACGCCUUGCUUUUUGCUCCUACUGAUGAGCUUGGGAACAAUGCUGCAAUAGAAGGAUAGUUGAGGUUCUCAGGCGAAGGCCUCUUUACCGGACAAGUCACUGGUGAUCGCGUGAUCACCUGAAUUGCUUUUGGGCUGUAUCCAUUUCCACAAAGGAAGUUCACAUAAUCAUUGUUAGUGAUAUCGUACACAAGUCCUGGAUCCAUUGCACGAUCAAGAUUAAGAUGCCCUGCACCAAAAUCGUAGGGUGUAGAUGCUUUUCCAGUCGCCUCAUCGAUCAUGGGUUGGUUCAGAUUAUCCAAUGUGUUGGCAGUGGUCAUCAUUGCAGACCUAAUUGCUGCAGGACUCCAAUCUGGGUGUGCAGAUUUAAGCAAGGCUGCUGCGCCGCUUACAUGUGGGCAAGCCAUUGAAGUUCCAGACAGGAUAUUGAAUUCAGUUCUUCUUGUAUCUGAAUCCAGUCCAGUUGGACCAACUGCAUCCGUCCAAGCAGCAAGAAUAUUAACACCCGGAGCAAUCAAGUCCGGCUUGAGAAUCUCUGGGUUCAAGCCAUUUGGCCCUCUACCAGAAAAAGAGGCCACAACAGGAGCCGGUUUGAUUCCAACGACAGUGCCCUUGAAAUCAAUAGUGGCUGUAGGAUUGGGCGUGGAAGAAAUAUAUGCCUUAACAGCAUCACCCUCGUCAGACCCAACAGCACAAGCAGGAAGAAGGUGAGCAUCGCCAACAAGCCCUUCACCGUUGGAAAUUCCAUUGGCAAGAAUCAUAGCAAUACCUCCAGCUUUCUUGACAACCAACCCUUUAGCCACUCUAGGACUACUUCCACGAUCGCAAAUAACAAUUUUGCCUCUAACCAUAUUUGGAUCCAGUGAAUUUUCCAUACAUAACGAAGUCGAGAGAACCCCUGAUUUCCCUGGAUAAACCAGAGGAAACAUCUUCCCAUUCAGUGGAACUCCAGAGUAGAGAGACACACCAGAUAGCCUAUGCCCAUUACCCAGAAUCACAUCAGCUGGAAAAUUCCUAUCAAUUGUGCCUGCACCAACAGUGACAAGCCAAGGUGCCAGGUUUGUCACGGACAUUAAAUUAGGUCCAUCAUUACCAGCAGAAGAUGACACGAAAACCCCUCUAGAAACGGCACCGUAAGAACCAAUGGCUAUGGGAUCAAGAUAAUAAGGCGAGGAAAUUCCAUCACCACCGCCAAUGGAGAUGGAUAUAACAUCCACUCCAUCAUUAACAGCAGCAUCGAAAGCAGCUAAUAUAUCAGAAUCGAAACAGCCCGAAUUUUUCCAACACACCUUGUAAGCAGCCAGUCGCGCUUUUGGAGCAACACCUUUAGCAAUCCCCGGCGCGUACCCCGCCAUGCUGGCGCCGAACGAGUGCCUUCCCGCCGCAGUCGACGCUGUGUGCGUCCCAUGUCCAUCCGCAUCUCUCGGAGAUUUGAACUCAACGGUUUCGUUUAUUCCGCUUAUCGGCCCUGCCGAUCUCGCAGCCGCUUCAUGACCUUCGAGGAAAAAACGAGCCCCAAUUAACUUCUUAUUACAAUUUUUGGGGGUGAAUUUCACUCCAGCCUGACAAAUGCCUUUCCACCUCGCCGGCACCGGCCCGAGAUUGACAUCCGAGAAGCUACGGCGCUCUGGCCAGAUUCCGGUAUCGAACACUCCAAUAAUAACGUCGGAUCCGUAAUCAGAUUCGGACCAAAGCCCGCGCUGAUUUCGGAGCCCUAGGAACUGAGGGGACCUUGUAGUGUGAAGCUGGCGGCGACGGUCCUCGAAAACAGAGAGAACAGAAGGGUGUUGGCUGAGGUAGGAAGCAUGGUCUGGAGUAACAGAAGCAGAAAAGCCAUGGAAAACGGUGUCGUAUACAUGCAGGAUUUGGAGAGGAUCAGCAAACUCGGAAGUAUACCAGUGGUAGUGUGUGGCGAAAAUAGAGGGCUUGGAUUCAGAGUCGACGCGGAAGAUGAAGGUUUUGAGCGUCUGAUCGGAGGAAAGUGCUAGAAGGUGGAAAUUAGAAAGGAAAGAAAAGAAGAAAAGGAAGAACAGGGGAAGUGAAAUGUAGAGAAAUGAAGCCAUGAGAGAGGAGCAGCAGAGGAUAGUGAAGUGAAGGAUAUGUGCUGUGAUAACCGACUGAUAUACUAUUAUAAUCUAAGUUACUUUUAUCGUCGUUUUAUGAUUUAAUUAAUACUAGUAUUAUAAUCUAAGUUACUUAGAUUAAUGAUCUUAAUUUAAAAAAUGUAAACAUCAGCUCAGGCUCUGUGGGAUAUGUGUAUAUUUUUCAUCUGCUGAGUCAGCUCUAUUUUUGCGGGACCUAGAUAAUAUCAACGGGUAACCUCUCUUCUGCUGA